rnacentral:rRNA from 1 species
CGACACGGUGACGUGGGGCGGAUCCCUGAAAACCGGUCUCAGUUCGGAUCGCAGUCUGCAACUCGACUGCGUGAAGGUGGAGUCGCUAGUAAUCGCGGAUCAGCAACGCCGCGGUGAAUGCGUUCCCGGGCCUUGUACACACCGCCCGUCAAGUCAUGAAAGUGGGCAGCACCCGAAGACGGUGGCCUAACCCUUGUGGGGGGAGCCGUCUAAGGUGAGGCUCGUGAUUGGGACUAAGUCGUAACAAGGUACC